GGAAUGCUACUGCAAGAUGUUAGCAGGCUCAGCCUUCCAAGCUGAAGACGCGGGUUCGAUUCCCGUCAUUCCC
rnacentral:tRNA from 1 species